rnacentral:rRNA from 1 species
AUUGAACGCUGGCGGCAGGCCUAACACAUGCAAGUCGAACGAGUGGCGGACGGGUGAGUAAUGUCUGGGAAACUGCCUGAUGGAGGGGGAUAACUACUGGAAACGGUAGCUAAUACCGCAUACCAUCGGAUGUGCCCAGAUGGGAUUAGCUAGUAGGUGGGGAAAAGGCGCACCUAGGCGACGAUCCCUAGCUGGUCUGAGAGGAUGACCAGCCACACUGGACCUGAGACACGGUCCAGACUCCUACGGGAGGCAGCAGUGGGGAAUAUUGCACAAUGGGCACAGGCCUGAUGCAGCCAUGCCGCGUGUAUGAAGAAGUCCAUGGGGUUGUAGAGUACUUUCAGCGGGGAGACGUUACCCGCAGAAGAAGCACCGGCUAACUCCGUGCCAGCAGCCGCGGUAAUUC